GCCAGUGUACUGUAAUGGUUUGAAUGUUGGACUGAAACUCUGGAGACCAGGGUUCAAUGCCCAGCUUGGCCA